GCGUCGAUGGUGCAACGGUUUAGCACACGCUCUCAGAAAGAGUGAGAUCUGGGUUCGAAUCCUGGCUGACACA